rnacentral:rRNA from 1 species
UAACGCGUGGGUAACCUGGCCCAUACAGGGGGAUAACACUUAGAAAUAGGUGCUAAUACCGCAUAACAACAGAAAGCGCAUGCUUUUUGUUUGAAAACCAAGGUGGUAUGGGAUGGACCCGCGUCUGAUUAGCUGGUUGGCGGGGUAAAGGCCCACCAAGGCGACGAUCAGUAGCCGGCCUGAGAGGGUGGACGGCCACAUUGGGACUGAGACACGGCCCAAACUCCUACGGGAGGCAGCAGUGGGGAAUAUUGCACAAUGGGGGAAACCCUGAUGCAGCGACGCCGCGUGAGUGAAGAAGUAAUUCGUUAUGUAAAGCUCUAUCAGCAGGGAAGAAAAUGACGGUACCUGAGUAAGAAGCCCCGGCUAACUACGUGCCAGCAGCCGCGGUAAUACGUAGGGGGCAAGCGUUAUCCGGAUUUACUGGGUGUAAAGGGAGCGUAGGCGGCGAUGCAAGUCAGAAGUGAAAGCCCGGGGCUCAACUCCGGGACUGCUUUUGAAACUGUGUUGCUAGAUUGCAGGAGAGGUAAGUGGAAUUCCUAGUGUAGCGGUGAAAUGCGUAGAUAUUAGGAGGAACACCAGUGGCGAAGGCGGCUUACUGGACUGUAAAUGACGCUGAGGCUCGAAAGCGUGGGGAGCAAACAGGAUUAGAUACCCUGGUAGUCCACGCCGUAAACGAUGAUCACUAGGUGU